rnacentral:lncRNA from 12 species
UGCUCUGGACAAUGGUGAGAAGAAUAUCCUGGCUUCUUUUCUUUCUUUUUCAUGAACAAAAUGUAUAUGGAAACAACAGUUCAGUAUGAGGUUCAUUAGCAUUUCAGGCCUGUACUAGGAGUUAAUCCCAGGAUUCUACUCUGCUUCAAUAUGACUGCUUCCUGCAGCAAGGGGCAAGAAGGCCCUUGGGAAUCGGACACAGGCUAGAGCCCGAGGAAUAACUACAGGAAAUCAGGACAGAAGGAGAGGGAAGGAAAAUCUGUCUCCAUCCAACAAGUUGCUGGUUUGCAUCAGCAAGAAAUGGUCCUGGAACACUCUCUUCACCCUUCAGAGAUGCUUUCUUCCUUCAAAGAGGCAUCU